rnacentral:rRNA from 1 species
AUUGAACGCUGGCGGCAUGCUUUACACAUGCAAGUCGAACGGUAACAGGUUAAGCUGACGAGUGGCGAACGGGUGAGUAAUGCAUCGGAACGUGCCCGGUCGUGGGGGAUAACGCAGCGAAAGCUGCGCUAAUACCGCAUACGAUCUGAGGAUGAAAGCGGGGGAUCGCAAGACCUCGCGCGAUUGGAGCGGCCGAUAUCAGAUUAGGUAGUUGGUGGGGUAAAGGCUCACCAAGCCGACGAUCUGUAGCUGGUCUGAGAGGACGACCAGCCACACUGGGACUGAGACACGGCCCAGACUCCUACGGGAGGCAGCAGUGGGGAAUUUUGGACAAUGGGCGAAAGCCUGAUCCGGCCAUGCCGCGUGCAGGAUGAAGGCCUUCGGGUUGUAAACUGCUUUUGUACGGAACGAAAAGGUUUGGCCUAAUAAGCUGAGCUCAUGACGGUACCGUAAGAAUAAGCACCGGCUAACUACGUGCCAGCAGCCGCAGUAA